CUAGAAUAUAUAAUUAAAAUUAAUAUAUAUACUAAUUUGUAGAAUUUUUCAGAUUCCAGAUGUGAAGAGUACUGGUGUUCAAAGUGUAAUGUUCAAUAUCCAGGGAAACGAAAUUUAAAAGAACAUUUGGCACUUUAUUGCAAUCGCCCUCCACGUUUUCAGUGUCCUUAUUGUCCCGUUUGUAUGAGACAAAGAUCAAAUGUUUACAAACAUAUUCGAAGUCAACAUAAAGGAAAUAGUAUUUAUAUUAUUUCAUCACAAGAAGCAAUCGUCAAAAAAAAUACGUUUGCGCUGAAUGCAACAAGGCUUAUGUGAACGAUAGGGAUUUACGAAGACAUCAAAAAUAUGUUUGUGGUGGGAAAUUACCACAAUUUCAAUGUCCAUUUUGUCCACAAAAAGCAAUUUUUAGAUGGUUACUUUCUGUUCACGUAAGAACUGUACAUCCAGAAAAUGUUGUUAAUUUAGAACAAUAAUUUUUAAAAAAUAAUUUAUUUAUUACAUUCUGUGUGUGUGUGUGUGCGAGCUAAAUGUAAAAUUUCAAUAAAUUACAAUUUUUAAUAUAA